rnacentral:rRNA from 1 species
UACGUAGGGUGCAAGCGUUGUCCGGAAUUAUUGGGCGUAAAGAGCUCGUAGGCGGUUUGUCGCGUCGAAUGUGAAAACCCGGGGCUCAACUCCGGGCCUGCAUUCGAUACGGGCAGACUAGAGUUCGGUAGGGGAGACUGGAAUUCCUGGUGUAGCGGUGAAAUGCGCAGAUAUCAGGAGGAACACCGGUGGCGAAGGCGGGUCUCGUGGGCCGAUACUGACGCUGAGGAGCGAAAGCGUGGGAGAGCGAAUAGAACCUUGAACCGUCACUCGAAG